GCGGUGGCUGGCGACCACGUGGCAUGGAUAGCGCGCGCACGUGCGGAGAUUGAAAUGCCCAACGGCCGCGACGCCAUUUCCUCGAGCCCGGAGGGGCGGGGCGGAGGUGGCAGUUGAGGGGGGUUGCCGUUAGAAGGGAGUCCCCCUCGAGGGAGGGGCGGGGGUCCCUCCUCCUACACCCCCACCCCACCCCACCCCUCCCCUCAGUGAGCAGGCUGGGUGUAAAUAAUGGCCCCAACAGAGACCAGAAGCAGCAAGACUCUGAACAGGAGGAGGCGGAGGCGGAGGCGGAGGCGGAGACCCCCCUGCUUAGCCUUCCUCCUCCGCCGCCUAGCAGCCGCAGCAGCACACGGGGCCCACAAGAAGCCCCCCUCAGCUGCUGCUGCUGCUGCUGCUGCUGCUGCUCCAGCCUGCGUGAGGCACCCUCUGCUCCUGCCUGCCAAUGGCCACCAUUCCAGCAGGGCCAGCCCCCCCAGGGUUGAGUUAUGAAGAAGAAUUGCCCGUGAGGAGGAGAAAAAGGGGUCUGGGAGAGAACGCCGCCCCGAGAGUUCUGCCCUGUGCACAGAAGGCUGUCAUGAACCACCUUCCCCGGUGAGGCGUGGCGUGGAAGUAAUCCUAAGAAACUGAAAUGGGCAGGGGAGGGGUGGGUCAAGGCAAGGGGGAGAGCGAUCAUUCAUGGGCAAGCCCAGAUGUUCUGGACGCACCACCCCACGUGCCUCAACCUGCUCCCAGCUUGGGCGGACUUAUCUUCAUUUGCUUUCUACUUGCAGGGUAGCCCUAGCUUUUACUGGCAUUAGCCGCUUGGUGACGGGAAGCACGGUGGUGUGCCACUUUGCCCAAUGGAAGACUCUCCAGCGAACUGGCAGAAGAGAGGCCAAGCAGCCAGAGCAAGAACAGGAAUGUGGCAGCACCAUGAGCAGGCCCAAGGGGAAGGCUCCCAGCAGAGAAGAGGGGGCCAGCCGGAAGAGGCAGAGGUCACGGGGAGAGACUUCUCUGAAUGACACACUCUGAAUGCCAGGUGCAGCCACGUCCAGCGGGGAUCUUCCUGCAGACAGAACUCUGGGGUGUUGGGGGCACUUGCCCCUCACUGCUUCCUCACCCCCAGGUUGCCGCUGGAAGGUGGGCCCGUCUAUGGAUGUCCCCUGCCCCCGAAGCCAUGGGACAGAUCAGACCGUGGCUCUUCCCAAGGCUCUGAGUGUUGGGAUCCUCACAUUUAGUUCUGAGUGUCAUCAGUGGCACGGUUUGUGAAGAGAAGUUCUAAGGAACUGGAGCUGUCACCAGGACAAGGAGAAGAGCGGAGACAUAGCAGAAGCCUCCUGACAGAGGCCAGAUAUAGGUGUGUUUGGUGGUGCCCUGCAGACGCCGCUCUCUUGCCUCUACUGUGUUGCCACUGCACCUGAAGCCACAGCCCUUGGGAAGGAUCAGGUGGCUGCUGUUCCCAAGGGCAAAAGGCGGGAGGCUUCAGCAGUGAGUGGCAGGCCAGAAGUUGACCACUGCUCGAUUCCAAAAUGUGCAGCUUGUUUGGAGAAGGCUGGAGAUCUCUCCAAGGCAAGCCAGGAGGACAGGACUUUGCUCGAAAACAGUAGUCCCUCAGGAUGAGGUCCGUCACCAUGGCAGGGCGUCGGGAGACUGUCACCUCUCCCCCACAGCGGGCUGCAUUUGCUGGGAACCACAGCCCAAAGCGUCAGGGAUUGUGUCAGAGUUACAAGAUUUUGGCAUGCAGUGGAAAAUGAAAUAGUAACGAAAUUUAGAGUUUUGAUAACGCUUAAUAUAGAAUUGAGACGACUGCUUUUGUUUACUGGAAAGAAUAUAUAAUUGGAUAACAAGGUUUUGUUAAGGUUACAUAUUAGCAGCUCAAGCAUUAAUUACUCGUAAUUGGAAAACCGCUGAAAAUCUUCAUAUCAGUAAUUGGUAUAAAAUAAUAUGGGAAUAUAUGCUUGAAGAACACAUUUUAAUUCGCUGUAAUUAUAUGUGACAAAACCUAAACAGAUAUGAUUUUAAGCAAGUAUGGAAACCAAUUAUAAAUACAGUGGAGACAAAUAGGGUUGAUUAUAAUCCGAGUAAGAGAAAAGAAGGCACCAUUCUCUUCUCUAUUGGAAACAACAAGCACUGGAUAUAAGAGGCUGAGAAGAAGAAGAAGAAAGAAGAUUCCAAAGCCAGCAGCACUGAAGUGGAGUCCAAGAUGAGGAGUGAAGAGGGAGAAGAAGAAAGAAGCCGGAAAAGAGGAAAGCAAGAUUAACCUGCAGGACAGAGAGGAGAGGAGAGAAGUCCAAAUAGUCUUUGUGUUGCAUGAUAGGAAAAGAAGGAUAGAAGACCAUAGUACUGCAAAGGAAACCAUUUUUUUCAAGGGCUUACCUUCAACCAUCAGCUGAUGAGGCUUCAUUUUUGGCCAGGCCCCUUCAUCAUGGCAGGGAGUGUCGGAGAGACCUAGUGGAAGGCCCCCUCCAGCAGCGCGAAGGGUGUAUUUGGUGGGACCCUUCCACCGCUGCUGCCCGGCACCGGAGGAUCAGGCCGAGGGCGAGGCCUCGCACCAUAAGACACGACCCCAGGGGAGGAGCAGGUGGUGGUCUCUCUCCCCCAGGGCGUGUCUUCGGGCAGGAGCGUGGUGGCGGUGGAUGGGCCACAGAGCUGGAGGGGAGCGGCGGAGUCCCCCAGGAGGAAGGGGCUGGCUCUGCCUUGGGGAGCCUCAGCGCUUGGAUAGAUAGCGCUGGCAACAGGUCGGGCCUCUGCUGAGCCUCUGGCGGGUGCCAGGAUGAUGGUAAGGGCUUCAGCAGAGGCCGGCCCAUCGCGGUCAGGGCCUUCUUCCGGGGGUGGUUUUUUAAAGAAGUCUGGGGAGGAACCGUCUCCCCGGACAAGCCAGAAGGACGGCCCUUCCCCAGUGGGAAGAAGUCCUUCCCAGGCUCCCCAAGGUCCAGGUUCCUCCUGGGGAUGGGCUGGAGUAUUUUUGCCCGCUCCUCCGCCUCCAGCCUCCUUCUGGGGAGACUCCCCUCCCCCAGGUGGGGAAGGGGUUUCUCCCCAGAAGGCACGCUCCCACCCGGGGCCUUGGCCCCCCGCCGAGUGGCCCUGAUCCUCUGCGGGAGGGCUGGUGGGCUGCCCUCCCGUGCUGGCUCCCCCUGGGUGCUUUGGGCUUCCUGGGGCGGCCUUUUGGAGGCCUCACCCGUUCCGUUGAUGGUCCAGCCACAGGGGCUGGGCCAUCAAGGGAACGGUUGGCCCCAGGCACCACCAGGGGAGGCAGCAGCAGCUUCCGGGCCACAUCGCGGCUGCUGGAGGUGAUGGCCUUCCUCCCACCAGGUCUCCCCUCCUCUGCUCCUGGAAAGGAAAGGAAAGAGACGUUGUUUGGAUUGAUUUCACAUCUCGAUAUGCUGCCGUCUCACAUCUCUGGGUGGCUGACGUGACCCCUUUGGACCAAAGCCAACCUUGGCAUUUCAGAGCGGAGUUUGUUGUUGACGGUGAACGAUGAGGGAGGGAGACCCCCAGCUUGUCGCUGCCCAGGACUAGCAAGCCGUGGAUACUUUGCCCUAGGGGAAGAAGAGCCCUCAAUGGCCCUGGCACACAUCCAGCCUGCACUUCUGUGGCAUCUCCCCUACCCAAUGUGCAAAAGGGGUUUCCACUAGAAGGCACACUCCCACCUGGUGCUUGGGCCACCUGGGCCUUGGGUUGGGAAACUGUGGAGGGCUCUGGUGGACUGCCCUCCUGUGGUGGCUUGCCCUUGGAGCUUGUUUCUUCCUGGGGCUGCCUCUUCAGUCUUUUGGGAGUCCUCACCCUCACAGGGGCUGGGCCGUCAAGGGACAGGGUGGAUUCCUGGCGGCACCCAGAACGGGCCCCAGGCACUAGGGGAGGCGGCAGCAGCAGCUUCCGGACCACCGUGUGGUUGCUGGAGGUGAUGGGCCUCCUUCCGCCAGAUCUCGCCUCCUUUGCUCCUGAAAAGAAAGGACAUUUUAUUUUUAUUCAUUUUUUCCAGUUGAAGACAUUUGAGUUCCCAGUGGAAUCUGGCCCGCUCCACCACAGCCUCCAGCUUCCUUCUGUGGAGUCUUCUUUCCCUCCCCAAGGUGGGGAAGGAGUUUCCUCCUGAAGGCACACUCCCACCUGGUGCUUUGGCCACACGCCAAGCAGCUUUGAUAUUCCCCAGGAGGGCAGGCCCCAGGCUCCAGCGCCAGGGGAGACAGCAACAACUUCCAGACCACCAUGUGGCUGCUAAAGCUGAUGGGCUUCCUUCUGCCAGAUCACUCUCCCUGUGCUCCUGGAAAAAAAAGGACAUUUUAUUUUUCUUUAUUAUUGGCUCAGGUGGGGAAGGAGCUUUCCCUCAAGGCACACUCCUGUCUGAUGUGUUGGCCACACGCUGAGCAGCCUAAAUCUUUCCCAGGAGGGCUGGUAGGCUACCCUCCGGUGGCGGCUUCCCUUUGGUGCUGCUUUCCGCCUGGGGCUGCCUCUUUGACUUCUUGGCACGCUUCACCCUUUCCAGUGAUGGUCCAGCCACAGGGGCUGGGCCCUCAAGCAAAGAGGUGGGUUCCUGUGAGGCCUGCUUGGUACUGGCCCCAGGCACCAGGGGAGGAAGCAGCAACAGCCUCUGGACCACCAUGUGGUUGCUGGAGGUAAUUUGCCAGAUCUUCUCCCAGAUCUCUCUUCCUGCACUCCUGAUAGAAAAAAAUAAGUUGCUUUUAUUUUUCACAUCUGUAUAUGCUGCCAAAAUUCACAUCGCAAGGUGGUUUAUUUUUCCUCUUUGAAUUUGUUUGGACGGAAGCAAGUCUGGGAAUGGCAUUCAAAUGCAGGAAAGUAGACAGCGAGAUGAUUUUGUGUUAGUGGGGUCUCUUAUUAAUUUCAUUAAUUUCUAGAUCAAGAACAAAUAAUAUGCAACCUUUUAUUUCAUAUGUUGUCAUUCUGGUAUUACAGUAUCUCUCCCCUCUCCCCCCCCCCUUGGCUAAUGCAAUAUAUUUAUGUUUUUGACUGAAGACAAAUUCUUCUAUUUGUAUUUGUAAGAAAAUAAAAAGACAAUAAAAACAUUCAAUCUUCGCUUUUAUCAA